UUUAUAAUCUUAUAACCUACAUCUCAAUCUCCCCAGGGGCUGCACCACAUCCACAAGAACGGGGCCGUUCAUAAAGACAUCAAGAGCCCGAACAUCAUGCUCACAGAGACGGCCAAAGUGAAGAUCAGUGAGUAAAACUUACAGUUAUAAGAGUAAUGGAUGGUGGGGAGCUUCUGUGAAUAUGGAGUCAGGGGGUUUCAUAAUUCAGGUUUCUAUCUUAUUUGGUUAAACAAGUUAUUUUCCAUUAAUGGAUUCUAUCUGUCAUUUCAGUCGACUUUGGACACAGCUGGGACCUGGACCCGCAAACUGGGUUGUGCCACGAAGCGGAAGGGACACCACAUUGGAUGGCACCCGAGGCCAUAAGGCAGAAGGGCCAGCGCCUGGCGUACGACACCAAAUGUGACAUCUGGUCGCUGGGGAUAACCGCCAUCGAAAUGGCUGAAGGAAAACCACCAUACACAGGGCAAUAUCCAGUUGAGGACCUGAUAAUUGAAGCCCAACCACCGAAGCUUCAAUCGAACACCUGGUCACAGCAUUUUGUGUCCUUCUUGGAGUCCUGUCUGAAAAAGGAUCCUUCGGAGAGAGCGAGUGCUGAAGAACUCCUGCAGCACCCAUUCGUCACCCAAAUACCACCUAAGAAGAUCGUCAGGGCUGAGAUAGAAGAACAUCUCCGGACUCUGCAGAACUUGCCGGCCAAGAAAGGACUGAAGGGAGUUGCUCUCUCAAAGCUGCGGCGUGCUUGUGACUUCUGCACACAGACAUCGGCAGAACAAGAAGCAGCUCUGCAAAUGGCCCUGGAAGGCUUCUCCUGUUAUUGAUAUUGUGGCCAAUAACAUCAACAGCCCAGAAUCAGUUUCCUAAAUCACAGCCAAGGAAAAAGAAACAUCCACAGGAUCCAGUGGCGUCUGCAGCUCCACCAGCAACAUCUCCUUUCAAGCUGAUGCAGUUCAGCAAGUGGUAACUUCAAGAUUCCUGCAACAACACCAGCAGGGACUUUAUCUCCUCGAUCAUAUUCUUUUCAGACCACCACAUCUCCACCAGUGGAGUCUUUGCUUCAUUUUACCU